rnacentral:lncRNA from 1 species
AAAGAUCAUUCAAGAACGAAAUGUAAUGCUUAAUGAUACAUUUAAAAUAAACAUGUAUACAAAAAUUAUACAAUGUCAUCUAUCUAUAAAGUGAGGAAUCUCUGUCUAUCUGUGUGUCUGUCUAUGUGUGUGUGAGCUGUUCUGCAAAACUUUAUUAGAAACAAUUUUAUGAAAUAAUUCAUUAACAGUUUUGUAGAACAGCUCUCUGUUGACAGGUAGUCAUGGUAACUCAGAAUCAUUUAAAAGCCUAGAUUCUGCGGGACUCCGUAGAACCCGUGAGUGGCUGCAGAAAGUGCUUUGUAUUGCUGGUGUCCAGUGAGCAGCAACGUUUGCAAUUAAGUGCUCAACAUCAAAAUGGACCAAGUAAACCAGGAUGUUCCAGAUGAGAACAUCUCGACGGAAGGGUCAGACAUCGACACUUUCGAAUAUGAAGAUUGUGACCAUUUUUUGUCUCCAUAUCCAGAGCCGGAGGAAACUGGCGAGGAAAAACAAAUCAAACAGGACUAUAACUGUGCAGUUUUUAUGAUGAUGGAUCAGUGGGCAGAGCUAUCCAAAUCGCAAAAUGACGAUGACGCUGACCUGGAGCUGGCCAAGAAGCUUCAGGAGGAAGAGUAUCAAGCAGCGUUCAACCAGGAACCAGAGCAGGAGCAGGGGGCAGCUGCAGCACCACAGGCUGUUGAGGAUGGGGGAGGAGACUCAGGACAUAUUCCGAUUCAGCCAGAGGCCUCUGUCAAGAGGGACCCAGAUGAGGAACUGAAGGUCGAAGAGAUCCUGACCCACAGUGAUGAUGAGACGAAUGAUGAGUUCCUAGCAGAGCCCUCAAAGAAUGGAGCACAAGAUCCUUCAAUCAAAGCUGAACCGGAAGAUAAAAAAAAGGAUUCUAUAAAGAAAGCCUCCUCCACUACUGGGGCAUCAGGCCAAGCAAAGAGCUCUUCAAGAGACCGAGAUGGAAAAGCAGAUAAAGUUCACAGGGGAGCGGUGAGCAGCAGCAACAGUCACUCUUCUCUUGACAUAUUGGCUAAGAAUGACCCUUUAAAGAAGUCUCACUCAAAGACUGAAAAAGAGGACAAAUCUAUUGACAAGCACAGAUCCGCUGGGAUAAGAAAAGGCAAUAAAGCCCCGCCCACCGACAAAGAAGAAAAGAAGCUUUCAGAAAGCGGCAAAGAGAAAAAGGAUUCAUUUUCAUCCAACUAUGGACAAGACUCCACAAAGGAGGACAAAAGAAAACAUGGGCGGGGGAAGAGCCCAAGCAAACCUAUGUUUGACAAAAGACACUUCAGAAGAGGACAGGGUUUCGACAAAGUGGAGAUGAUGAAAGACAAACAGCGACAUUCUACGGCCAGGGAAGACGGCAGGGACUUUCUGCAUUUAAAGAAGAGGAAGGCGCAAGAUCGCAGGUACUUUUGGGGAUGUCCAAAACUGUCAGCAGUGGUCCCCAAGCUGUGCAGAAACAGAGAUUGUGAACCACUGGCUUACAGAAAUAUGAAUAGAAAUUGCAAUGGGAUGUGAUACAAAUUUUUGCUAAACUUUCAGGAAGCGUGAAAAAGAACAACGAGUGCGUGAAGAACAAGAAUACCUGCUCCAAGAACGCCAGAGGCUGGAGAGAGAGAAACAAAAGUUGGAAAGGGCGCGUUUGGAAAGAGAAUCGCUUGAACGGGAAAGAAUUCGCAUCAAGCGGGUAAUUUAACCUUAAGAACAACUCCAGCUGUUGUAGUAAAACGUGUGUUAUGCCGUGACAAUUUAGUAACUGUCUGCUAAUAUUAGCAUCCACAAUGAAUGAUAAGAAAAGAUGCAAAAAGAAAUUAGCAAAAGUGUAGAAUACAUUAUCUGUGGUGUCUACGUAGUGGACCAGCAGUUAAAACUAACUGCAGACAUAAAUUUAAGUAGUACCCAUUAGUUGUUGUGUUUUUUUUGUUUGAUUUGUGAAGGGACAUUUUUGUUGUUUUUUUCUCUGAUUGCUCACAGAAAAGGACAGAAGAGGCAGAGCGCAUGACACUUGAACUCAAAAAGCUGCAGGAGCAGCAAGAGCAGUACCGUUUUGAUCAACAGAAGAGGAAUAACCUCAAGCGAGGUCGUGAAGAGGAACACGGGUAAAUAUUUAAGUUUUGUUAAACAUCAGUAUCACUAUCCAUUUAUUGUAUCAUCUUGACCCGAGGAUGAGCCAAAGCUUGCAGUGAUAUUUUAAACUGUGGGGGAAAACUCACGUUUCCUUGAGGGUUAAAAAAAAAAUUGGUAUUCAUAAUGUCUAUUUUGAAUGUUUCAGUUGGAGAGACAAAGGCCAUUCGAAUGGCAACAAGAAGAUGCGGUCAGAGUCUGAGGUCCGCGUGAACCCAGGCUCCAGCUACAAUCAGCAGCAGAACCGCUUCUCGAGCUUCAUUUCAGGAACGAGGCCUCGUUAUCCAGAAUCUCUAGUUGUACAGGCCAACACCAACGACAGGUAUGACAGUGAAGUCUGCUCAAUAAUCAAAGCUCUUUAAAGAAGCAGUUUGUAAAUCCGUACAGAGCAGAA